AUUGAACGCUGGCGGCAGGCCUAACACAUGCAAGUCGAGCGGAUGAAGGGAGCUUGCUCCUGGAUUCAGCGGCGGACGGGUGAGUAAUGCCUAGGAAUCUGCCUGGUCGUGGGGGAUAACGUCCGGAAACGGGCGCUAAUACCGCAUACGUCCUUAGGUAGAAAGUGGGGGAUCUUCGGACCUCACGCUAUCAGCUGAGCCUAGGUCGGAUUAGCUAGUUGGUGGGGUAAAGGCCUACCAAGGCGACGAUCCGUAACUGGUCUGAGAGGAUGAUCAGUCACACUGGAACUGAGACACGGUCCAGACUCCUACGGGAGGCAGCAGUGGGGAAUAUUGGACAAUGGGCGAAAGCCUGAUCCAGCCAUGCCGCGUGUGUGAAGAAGGUCUUCGGAUUGUAAAGCACUUUAAGUUGGGAGGAAGGGCAGUAAGUUAAUACCUUGCUGUUUUGACGUUACCAACAGAAUAAGCACCGGCUAACUUCGUG
rnacentral:rRNA from 1 species